CCUACGGGAGGCAGCAGUAAGGGAAUCUUCCACAAUGGACGAAAGUCUGAUGGAGCAACGCCGCGUGCAGGAUGAAGGCUUUCGGGUCGUAAACUGCUUUUAUAUGGGAAGAUUAUGACGGUACCAUAUGAAUAAGGACCGGCUAACUACGUGCCAGCAGCCGCGGUAAUACGUAGGGUCCAAGCGAUAUCCGGAAUUACUGGGCGUAAAGCGUGUGUAGGUGGAUUAAUAAGUGUGAUGCGAAAUCCGGCGGCUCAACCGUUUGGACUGUGUCGCAUACUGUUAGUCUAGAGGACGGCAGAGGUAAGUGGAAUUACGGGUGUAGCAGUGAAAUGCGUAGAUAUCCGUAGGAACACCAAUGGCGAAGGCAGCUUACUGGGCCACACCUGACACUGAGACACGAAAGCGUGGGGAGCGAACAGGAUUAGGAUACCCUGGUAGUCCACGCCGUAAACGAUGCAUACUAUUAGUAUGGGGUAUGACCCCCUGUGCUGAGAAGCUAACGCGAUAAGUAUGCCGCCGNGGAGAGAGNGCAGAUAACGUAAGAAGUAGAGNGNGAGACGNGCGAGAGACGACGAGGAGAG
rnacentral:rRNA from 1 species